rnacentral:misc_RNA from 1 species
GAUGAAGAACGUAGCGAAAUGCGAUAAGUAAUGUGAAUUGCAGAAUUCAGUGAAUCAUCGAGUCUUUGAACGCACAUUGCGCCCCCUGGUAUUCCGGGGGGCAUGCCUGUCCGAGCGUCAUUGCUGCCCUCAAGCACGGCUUGUGUGUUGGGCCCCGCCCCCCGGCUCCCGGGGGGCGGGCCCGAAAGGCAGCGGCGGCACCGCGUCCGGUCCUCGAGCGUAUGGGGCUUCGUCACCCGCUCCGUAGGCCCGGCCGGCGCCCGCCGGCGACCCCCCUCAAUCUUUUCAGGUUGACCUCGGAUCAGGUAGGGAUAUCCGCUGAACUUAAGCAUAUCAAUAAGCGGAGGA